rnacentral:tRNA from 1 species
GAAGGUAUAGCUCAAUGGCAGAGUUCAGGCUUAGUAUGCAUGAGGUCCUGGAUUCAAUCCCGAGUACCUCCU